GUCUCGGCGCCAUCUUUGUUUUCCGUGUCUCGAAUAAAAGUGAAAGUAAAUGUUCCGAGUUAAUGUUUCUCCAUUUAAACAGCCAGAAUCAAUUCUAUACGGAAUUUCAAAGUGUUUCAUAGGAACUAAGUCAUGAUUUUCGUGUAGCUGCUUCAUAGAAAGGCGGUGGAUUUUGUGAAUCUGUGUAAAUAAGAGUCAGUGCUGGAGAUCAGAUUCUGUUUCAUCAUGGAGGACACACAAACAUCCACAGAUCAAGAGUUUUCUCCUGGAUGCAGGGAUCAAAAAGGUUUUGUGGCUCCACGUGAAUUUAUAUUCAGUGGGAAAUGGCCCAAAAUGGAAAGAGGAACCAAUUAUAACCCCCAGAGUCUCACAAAAUCAUGCGGGGACAC